GAUGAAGAAACGCAGCGAAAUGCGAUAAGUAAUGUGAAUUGCAGAAUUCAGUGAAUCAUCGAAUCUUUGAACGCACAUUGCGCCCGCCAGUAUUCUGGCGGGCAUGCCUGUCUGAGCGUCAUUUCAACCCUCAUGCCCCUAGGGCGUGGUGUUGGGGAUCGGCCAAAGCCCGCGAGGGACGGCCGGCCCCUAAAUCUAGUGGCGGACCCGUCGUGGCCUCCUCUGCGAAGUAGUGAUAUUCCGCAUCGGAGAGCGAUGAGCCCCUGCCGUUAAACCCCCAACUUUCCAAGGUUGACCUCAGAUCAGGUAGGAAUACCCGCUGAACUUAAGCAUAUCAAUAAGCGGAGGA
rnacentral:misc_RNA from 1 species